rnacentral:lncRNA from 1 species
CAUACAUGUAAAAAUACCAGCUAAAAUUUUCUAGCAUGGUGACAAGGACUUUGCCAGCCAUGGGGUGGUCAGGUCACUUAGCAGCAGUAGUGAAAUGUAGGGAAUGCAUCUGCAGUCUCAUAGCUCUCUGCAUGUAUGUUUGUGUUUCAAGGUGUCUUAACUGAUGACUGUUACCAUGUCUGUUCCUUGGCUACAGAGAAAUUUGUACUUAUUUUAUCUUUCAUCAGGUAAUCGUGAAUUCCCCCAUCUUACACUGUUUCAUUUCUCUUGCACUGUAUAAUUUCGUUUAUGAUUUCACAACAAAAGUCAUAAAACAUGGGGAAGCAUUUUUGAGAUGCACAGACCUUAUCUGCAAUUGUCCUGUAUUACUUCAUGUAAUCUGGUUAUUUUUCUCAGUAGAACUACUUGAUGGUAAGCAAAAGUGAAGGAAAAUGAAGCUAUUGGCUUCCUGCAAGACUUGGCUUUUGACUCUUUCUUUUCACCUUUUUUUUCUUGCUUGCAUUUUUCUUUUUUUUAAAUGAAAAGUAGCUUUACUAAAGUAGUCACUGCAUAAACUCCCAGCCUUGUAAAACUAUCAUUGAAAAAUACCAGGCAAGGCACAGAAUGUAAUUGCUGCCCUUUUUACCAUGAUGAAAGUAAUGUUAUUUUGGUAGUCCAUCUACAAAAUUUUACUCAUCUUGGCCUUCUUUCAGUAGUUCAUUCCUAUUCAGCAAAUUCCUAUCCACAUCAGGGCACAGGAAUGUAUUUCCUUACAGAACCACCAUACUGUACAAAGGAAGAUGUAGUGGGAGUUAUUUCAAAGUACUAACUUCUGCUCUACAGUCUUCACAAUCACUGGUGGGGAACCACAGGAAGCAUAGUGAUCAAGUAGCUGAAAUUAAGCAUGUCCUUAUAUACUUUGCUGCACAGGGAUAAAGUUAGGUCUCAAUCAGAAAUCAAGCUGCAAAGCUCAGCUUUUCAGAGCCAGUCGCCUUACUUGCCUAUGCAGCGUGAAAAGUUACAUGCAGCUGUGCCAGGGAGAAAAUGA